AGUUGUGCCCGAGGCCACCCGGUCGAGGGCACGCCUGCCUGGGCVUCAUGC
rnacentral:rRNA from 1 species